AAGCAGAGCCAUGGCCUCUCUCAUCUUGUGUGAGGCAAAAAAGAGGGUGGACUUUCCUUUAUCUCAUAUUUUCACCACAUGGUCACAUAUGUGGCUGUGACAUAAUAAUGAACUCCAAUAUAGAGCCAAAAUAUUUGGCACAUUGCACAAUUCUUUUAGGCUCCCAGUGGCUAAGGUCGAUAGAGGCUUGCAGUGGUGCUGAUAACAACCAGGUCUCCUAUCUGCCUCAGAAAACUGGGGCCAAAAGAAGACCAUGAGUUUGUAGAUGUCAUCUGAUGCCCAAAAGCAUUCAGAAAAAAAAACUGUUGAUUUUAAUUCCAUCCUUUCAACUUUUGUGUAAACUGUUUUCAAUCAAGUUUAUUGUA
rnacentral:lncRNA from 10 species